rnacentral:rRNA from 1 species
ACUUUAAAAAUUAUAAGGUGGAAUUAGAAUUUUUUUGUGUAAUGUUGUUUGUAAUUUUAAAUUUUGAUUGAACGAACUAGAAUAGAACCUAGUUAGACAAAUAUUAAAAGAGCAGAAGUAAAGUUGUAUUUAAACUGAAAGGAUAUUGGCAGGUGAUCUAAAUUAUCUUUGGAGGCUGAGUAGUAAUUGAGAACCCCCAUUAGCUACUUUGUUUGUUUUCGCAUGUAUGAUCGUUUAUUUAAAUCUUAAAGGUAGUAAUUAAAGAUUAAUUUUCUAUAAAAACAGAUAAAUACCUGGUAUAUAAUUAAAGUAAGAUUUGGCCUACAUUAUUUUAUAAUGUGGAUAAUAUUUUUGGCAA